rnacentral:rRNA from 1 species
UACGUAGGGGGCAAGCGUUGUCCGGAUUUAUUGGGCGUAAAGAGCGUGUAGGCGGCCAAGCAGGUCCGCUGUGAAAACUCGAGGCUCAACCUCGAGAGGUCGGUGGAAACCGUUUGGCUAGAGUCCGGAAGAGGAGAGUGGAAUUCCCGGUGUAGCGGUGAAAUGCGCAGAUAUCGGGAGGAACACCGGUGGCGAAGGCGGUUCUCUGGGCCUGACCUAACGCUGAGGAGCGAAAGCGUGGGGAGCGAACAGG